rnacentral:rRNA from 1 species
UAGUCAAUGCUCGCAAGAGUGAACUAGCUAACUGAAAUCAUAUAUGUGUCAUAUGUGAUAAAGUAAGGGAAAAUAAUGAUAUUACCUUAUUAUUAGUGUUGUCCAAAACUGGUGCCAGAAGACUCGGUAAGGCCAGAGACGCAAACGUUAGUCGUCCUAAUCAGGCGUAAAGGGUUUGUAGGCUGCUUUAAAACUUUUAUUUUUAAUAUAGCUAAAAUAAAGAUAAGAUCAAUUAAAGCUAGAAUCAAAUAGAGGGUAAACCAAAUAAUACUUAGAGUAGGGCCGAUAUCCAUAAAUACUAGGUGGAAUACUAAAGGUGAAAGCUUUUUAUCUACUAAUGAUUGACGCUGAGAAACGAAGGUGAGGAAAGGAAACAGGAUUAGAUACCCACAUACCCCUCUCUGUCAACGAUGAAUGGUGGCUUGCUAAUUGAAUAAAACAUUAAAAAGUUUAAUGUAAUUAUAAUAAAAAAUUGGUAGCGAUGUUAACACGAUAACCAUUCCGCCUUGUGAGUASGACUGCAAAGUGAAAACAA